UUCCUACGGGAGGCAGCAGUGGGGAAUAUUGGGCAAUGGGCGCAAGCCUGACCCAGCAACGCCGCGUGAGUGAAGAAGUAUUUCGGUAUGUAAAGCUCUAUCAGCAGGGAAGAAGAUGACGGUACCUGAAUAAGAAGCCCCGGCUAACUACGUGCCAGCAGCCGCGGUAAUACGUAGGGGGCAAGCGUUAUCCGGAUUUACUGGGUGUAAAGGGAGCGCAGACGGCAGUGCAAGUCUGGAGUGAAAGCCCGGGGCCCAACCCCGGAACUGCUCUGGAAACUGUGCGGCUAGAGUACUGGAGGGGC
rnacentral:rRNA from 1 species